GCUGAACCCAGAGGAGUGGUACUGAGAACACAGGUGCCAAUACAAUGUAUGGUGAGCUACUGUAUAAUGGAGUAAUUCUGUAACUGUGUUCUCAGGUCACCCCUUUGGGUUUCUU
rnacentral:pre_miRNA from 17 species